ensembl:lncRNA
CUGGGUCUGGAAGACCUUUGUCCUCAGGGACCCGGGAAAGGUGCAGGGGCUGGUGCCCACGCUGGCUCUCAGGCUCCCGUCAGGAUCAGCCCCAGCCCGGCUUCCCACACAAAGAUGCCGCCUCCGAGAGGUGGACAGAGGUCUUCUGGAGCCCGAGGCCGGAGGAAGUCCGGCACUCGCUCCUCUGCUUGCUGCCACACACCUGCUGGCCUGGGCCUCACACGGCUGUGUGUGCUCUGCACAUGGUCCCUGGCGAUGGUCUCCUCACCACGCUGGGUGCCGGUGGUGCUUCAGCCCAGUGUGCACGGCCUGCAUUGCGCUGUGUACCUCGGUGAUCCCCACGAGGGGCCACGGUAAUGACGGCUCGCACAGGAGUGAACACUGGCCUUGCUUCUCUUGAGUGCACGGGUGGGAGCAAAAUUAGCUGCGCCCCCUGGGGGCCGAGGUCUUCCCUGGAGCCAGGGACUCAGACACCUGCCGUCCGGGAGCAGUGGCUGUGGGAGAGGAAGGUGGACAGUGACCAGAAGUCCUCGAUGCGUGGACGCGCCCAGGCGGAGCGGGCCCCACAGUGGGCUCUUGUAAUUCUACCGCAAGCCCCGGGAAUGGGACACAUGAGGACACCUGUCAUUACCCUGACCGUCCACCCAGGCUGUGCACAUCCUCUCCCCUCUGGCUGUCCUCGUCUCCCUCCGGGGCUGGGGGACAAUGGGCUGCUCUUCCACCUCCUGCUCUUCUUUGUCAAGUGGGACCGCUUCUCCGUCUUUGUCGUUCACUCGUGUCUGGCUGACUGACUUUAUCCUCGCCUGUCUGCUAGUGAAUUUCGUGCAAGAGACAUUUGUGCAUUUUUGUGUCAUGGGCUCCCAUUCUGGUCACCACUUUUACAGCUCCAAUUCUCUUCCAUAUUUUAGGGAGCUCAUUUUCACAUUCUAAACAGCUGGGCUCUGUCUGCUGAUCAUCAUCAGCGCAAGCCGCUGCCUGUCCAUCUUCUUCCCCAUCUGGUACCGGCUGCACUAUCCAAAGUCCUGGUCCACCAUCGUGAGUUCUGAUCUGGGUCUUGGCCAUGUCCCUAAUUGCACUGUGUAUACUGAACUGCUCGUAUGUGUCAUGAACUGACAAGGUGUGUAAGCUAUUUUUAUAGGGUUAUUUGUGUUUCUUUUCAUUAUUGUGUCUGCAACACUACUGGCCGUUGUGAUUACAUUUCUCAAAUCAAAUGCAGCUGCAGGGUGUGUCCACGCAUGUUGUGCAGCAUCCUGCUCCUCGCAGUUGUGUCCUUUUCCCUUCCCUAUGGUGGGAUUAGUUUCGAGUGAAGACCUCCUCAUCCCUAAGAAUAUGAGCUUCUGUACGGUUGUCCAGUGUGAACAGCAGCAUCAACCCUUGGUUUAUGACUCUGCAGGGAGAAUGGAGAGGCAGAGGUGCCAGGGGCACUUAUGGGAGGUUUUCCAGAAGGCCCUGGGGGAGGAGUUGGACCCCUCUUCUGGUCCACCCAGUAUCUCCACCUGAGCGUCCGAGGAGCAGAGGGCUGAGUGUUGAAGGGAUCCUGCCCCACCCCCUGUCCCCAGCAAGGCCACAAACACAGCCUCUCCCAUCACCUUCACAUGCCUGCCUGUCACAUUUAAGCGUUUAGACCUUGAGCUUCACUGUGCGUGUCACAGACAGCGCAGGUCUGGCUUCCUUCUCCGUGCCAGAGCCAUCCUUGGCCGCUGUUCUGUCAUAAAUCGCUGGGCUUUGCUCACUGUCGGGAAGGAGAGUUCCUUGCUUAUACGCAGGGCAAUCAGCAACUGUGGCGCCUGCUUUCUCAGUGCCUUUGUCACAGCAGCUGACAGGCGGCCUCAGUUUGCAAUAUUCAAACCCACCUUACCCCCACACGGGUGCUCGGGGGCCCACCCAGUGCCCCUCCCAUGAUGGCAGUGUUACCGCCACAUCCUGUCCUCGCAUGCCUGCAGAGUUGGCCCUCGGCCCCGGGGCUGCAGUCCUCCUGGAGGUGGGGUCCCUGUGCUGUGUGAGCCAGAAGCCGGCUCCUAUCUGGAAACCCCCCUGUCUCAGCCCCCUUUGGGGCACUGUGCUGCCCGCCCUGUGCUGCGUGAUUCCCCAGCCAAACAGGGACCCAGGGUCCUGUGCUCGAGAAUGCCCCGUGUCUUCCAAGUUAAUAAAGCUUUGUGUGAAGUUUUUCAGAUGUUGUAAUCAUGUCUGGCCAGUUGCCUUUCCAUGUCAUUCUCGAAAAGUUUCAAAAGUAAAAGCAGUGCUU